UGCGGACAGUGUCUGGUGGCCUUGAUGUGUAGGAUAGGUGGGAGGCUUUGAAGCGUGGACGCCAGUCUGCGUGGAGCCAACCUUGAAAUACCACCCUUUAAUGUUUGAUGUUCUAACGUUGGCCCCUGACCGGGGUUGCGGACAGUGUCUGGUGGGUAGUUUGACUGGGGCGGUCUCCUCCCAAAGCGUAACGGAGGAGCACGAAG
rnacentral:rRNA from 1 species